AUUUUAUGUAUGAGUACACUAUUGCUCUCUUCAGACACACCAGAGGAGGGCAUCAGACCUCAUUACAGAUGGUUGUAAGUUACCAUGUGAUUGCUGGGAAUUGAACCCAGAACCUCUGGAAGAACAGUCAGUGCUCUUAACCAUUGAGCCAUCUCUCUAGGCCUGAGAGUUCUAGAUCUUAAUCUGAAGGCAGCAGGAAGAGACUGUGUGCCACACUGGGCUGUGGCUUGAGCAUGGGAGACCUCAAAGCCUGUCCCCACAGUGACAGCACUUCUCCAACAAAGCCACAUCUACUCCAACAAGGCCAUGCCUCCUAAUAGUGCCACUUCCUAUUGGCUAUGCAUUUAAACACAUGAUUCCAGGGGCCAUUGUUAUUCAAACCACCAUACUUUUUGAGCAAGUGUGUGUGUGUUUGUGUGUGUGUGUGUGUGUGUGUGUGUGUGUGUGUGUGUGGUACAUGCUCACGCACAUGCAUACAGCACAUGUAUAGUGAUCAGAGGACUUCUCUCAGAGAUUUCCUCUCCUCUCUUGCAGGAUGAGGAGACUGAACUUGGCUUGCUUGGAUUACUUUGCUAAUAACUUGGCUUAUAGAAAAACUCCCUAGCAUCUCUGUGGGACUGUACUAGUACACAACCAGUAACCUGCUAAGUUCCCAAGUGUGUGGCUGGUGUUCUGUAAGUAUCUCAGUUUCAUUGUGUUUACCACGAAAAGGGAAACCUAGGUCAUUCUCUUUCUUGUGCUUCUUGUUUUAUUCAGGUGCUGGUCUUUCCUGUCCAUUUCCCUGCCACGCAUCUUCUCAUAACCUUUAUCUGAUAGGUUCUUUGCAUUCAUUCUCUUGCUCUCUUGUGUUCCAGGUCUCUUUUCAGCCUAGGGAAUAAGGAAAUUUCCUGCAAAGUCCCAGGGGUGGUACUGGUUUUCAGGCAAGGCUUUGUACAAGAACAUAGUUUAGGGUUUGUUUGCUUAUUUUCCACCCUAUCUUUGAUAUGCUUUCCUCUGCCUUUUUCCUCGUCCACCUUCCUUUCUCUCCAUGAGCACAGAAAUGGGCACAGGCGGUUCAAGCAGUCUCCUGCACAUGCUAUUUCCCUUAGUGCCUUCAUGGGUGCUUACUUACCAAGUUCCUUUUCAUCCUCUAGCUGGCAAACCCAGGUCACAUCACACAGUAGCCCAGGAAAUGCUCUUAUUGAUAGCUUAUUGUUUCUUCCUCUUUUUCUUCUUUUUUUGGGGGGGGGUGGGUUGGGGUGAAGGGCUGAGCAUCAAAGUCUGUGCUCUCUACUACUGAGCUAAACCCCAGGGUAACUCCUUUUUCCUCCCCCCUUGUCUCUUUUCAUCUUCCUUUCUACCCUUUUCUUUCUCUCCAUUUCUCUCCUUUUAUUCUUCCUUCUGACACAAUCUCAUUCUGUAGCCCAGGCUAGCCUUGAAAUUAAGAUUCCCAUUAGAAGUUGCUGCUUGCUAGGAUACCAGGUGUGCACUGUCCUGCCCGACUACCCUCGUUCCCUUUUUGAUAGACCACAAUAUAGAUGUGUAAAGAAGAACAAAUACAAAAAUGGGCUUGGUUGUGCAUUCCGUUAAUGGACAUCCCAUCCUGUCCUGCUGAGCACACUUAGAAAAGUAGAACUUCAAGAAAUUGAUUACGGCUGGAGGGGUGGCUCAGCGGUUAAGAGGACUGACUGCUCUUCCUGAGGUCCUAAGUUCAAUUCCCAGCAACCACAUGGUGGCUCACAACCAUCUGUAAUGGGGUUUGAUGCCCUUUUUUGGUGUGUCUGAAGAGAGCUACGGUGUACUUUUUCUUUUCUUUUUUUUUUUCUUUUUAAAAAGAUUUAUUUCAUGUAUGUGAGCACACUGUUGUGCUCUUAACCGCUGAGCCUUCUCUCCAGCCCCCAAUAAAGAAACUGAUUAGAAGAAACUGAAGAGCUAACAAGACAGAACAUGCCAAAAUCUAGAA
rnacentral:lncRNA from 1 species